rnacentral:lncRNA from 1 species
UAUUACCUUCCAUAUUCAUAAGUUUUUCUAUCUGGAAUAAACCAGGAAGUAGUGGAAAAUGUGCAAGAAAUCUCUCCAGAUGUGUUUCUAGAGCAAAGAGGUUGGAACCAAGAGAUCUUGAACCACUGACUAACCUCGGAUAACUUCUGAGGUUAACCCACCCAUCCAGUGAAGAUGCAGGCCUUCGGACUGCAGGCCUUCUCUCCUAGGGGUCUUUUCCCACCCCCACACUCAGGAGCGUGUACAGAUGUUCCCUCUUCCUCCAAGAAAGUGUACCUGAAAUAUGCCAUACGUGUGCCCAGGAGCCACAGCCACAAGCAGGGACAUCUCAACCUCAGGACCUCUGCAUGGCAUCAUCAAGGAGCCAGAGACCCAGAAAGCCUGGAUGCCAAAGGUCACGUGGAGGUAAACAGGAAGCAUAGAACCCCAGGUGCUGUCAGGAGCUACCUGACAACCACAUGGGAAAUCAUUCCGAAGGUGAAACUGCCACAGAGAGCGAGAGACACAGCCCCGGUGACUUUAUCAACCUCUGGAACAAACUAGCCUGAAGCCCUUCCUAUCUCUUGACUUUACAGGUCACAUAGCACCAGAGCUCAGCAUCUUCAGCUUCUCAAUAAAUAAGAGAGUGCAUGAAAAGCAGCAAUAUACAGGUAAUCCUUAAAAAGGAAAGCUUCUCCCUUCUUCCCUUUCCUGUUGCAGUCAAAGCAAUUUCACCUACACCAUCAAAAGAUGGAUUUCUAGAUUGCUCAUGGAGAAAUAUACUUGU